UAAGCAUGUAAAGUCGGUCUCUCGGAAAAAAAUCCUUUUUCAUGCAUAUGCAUUAAAACAUGUUCGCAAUUAUCCUCGGAAAUUGCCUUCAUUGGAUUAAGCAGCAGUCUUGGACGUGGGUUCUGGUCUUCCCUGUGCCUUUAUUAAAGCUCUGAGCAGCGCUGGCUGCAGCAGCAGAGGCGGAGUGUUUGUUUAAACAAUGUUUACCAAAGAAAGGCGAAGGCGCUGCACUGUGGUGCGUGCGUGUGUGUGUAUGUGUGUGUUUUAACAACAAAAGGCAAAACUCCGCUGGAAACGCUUCUGCGGGUUCUCCGGCAGAUCCAGUCUCUCUUCUAUAGACAGAGGCAGCAACUCGCUUCAUGAGAGCACUUAAUGUUUGCCUAGGACGCAAUUAAUUACUGGCCUCGAAGGGAGACUUCGGAUGAGUGUCCUUUACUUGGACUCCGUUUAGGGCUCUUGACUCAUUAUCUAUGAGUGGUCUUUGUAGGAGGAAUAUCAGAUGCGCAGGGCUGACACUCGGCUUUUACAUGCUGCGUGGUACAAUGGACGCAGUGGCAGGGGGAAGUACUAAUUACCUUAAGACUAGCUAAUAACGCAGCUUUCCAACGCCACCUCUCACGGGCUGAAGUUAGCAAUCAGCGAGAAAAUCAUCAUCAGAAGCUGCGGAGAAAUCACGGGCGCGCAUGGAUUUGGACAGGUCUGUGCUAAUGGAAGCAGGGCGCGCACACACAUCAGCGGAGGGAAGAUUAGGGGCGAUCCAGCAUUUCGGGAGGACUUUAAACAGCAGCUCCCCGCCCGCCCGAGCCAUCGGGCCGGGGAGCAGCCUCCUUCCCCAGGCACCCGGGGACUUUUUGGAGGUGUCGGCACCGCUUCACCACGCAGCCGUCACAGGGCUCGCCGCCUGCCUCUGUGCCAGCAAGGCCUCGGCGGGACAGGAGUGCGGAUGCAGACCCGCCUCAAAGCCCCUCGCCGCGGGGCUACAGGACAGCGAGUGCCGGCCCGUGGGCGGGACGGGGCAGACGUGGUCACUAACUCCUCACCUCGAACAUGAACAGAAAGGGGUCCUUUCCCUUCUGCUCCGUCAGCUGGCGAAGCCAGUUCGUUUUAAUCAAUCCCCAACUAAAUGAUAAAACCAGAAACGACCCCGCUUUUCCAUGAAGGGAAAGCAUAUAUGUAUUUUAACGAUUUGGGUUGAUUUCCUUACGAGACGAGGACAGGAAGCUGCAGCUCCCCUUUCUCUGCAGCCUCGACCCCUCGGCCGCCGCCUUUCCCGGCAGGCGAGCUCCCGUCCCCGCUCCCCUUUCUCCUCCGGGGCCGGGGGGGCUCAUGCCCCAGCGCCCCCCUCCCUGCCCCGCUCGGGAUAGGGCCGCACUGGGACCUUCCUUCUGGGAAGGGGGCUCCAAGCUCCUGCCCUGGGGGGCGGCCGGGGCACCUCGAUCUUUCCCCGGAGGAACGGGCGGCUCCUUGCGCCCCGUCCGAGCGGGCCCCCGUCUGCUCCACCCUGGACCCCGCGCUGCGGCUUCUCCAGCACCAAACUCAAUUAUAACGGCCGUGAUUACAGCGAUAUAUCUCCAGCGCUCUCUAAACGCUUGGGUGUCAAGGGGAGUGUUUUAGAGAGGGUGCGAGGGGCAGCAAUUCAUACGAGGGAGCUGACAGUUCUUUGAUGUGAAAAUGAUGCCCCGAUUUUUACUCCGGGGCGCGCAACCGAAGAAAGAUUACACUGCUUAAACCGAGAAAUUUAAACCCAGAUGAUAAUAGUAACGAGCCGAAGAGGCGAGGUAGGGAAGUCAAUUUUACAACUAGAAAAGCGGUCUCUGAAGGCCUUGUGCAGCCUAUCGGGGCUGAGCGAGUGAAACUAAGUUCCUGAUAAAUCAUUAAUCACGGGCAGCUAAAGGCAAUCAUCCCCGGGCAGCCUCUAAUUACCGGAGGCCCCCGGCCCGCUGCCUGCCGGUGCCACUGGCCCCUUCCCCUCCCGGUGCCCGGGAGGGGCUGCCCAGGGGGGCUCGACCCGAGGCAGCCCGACCCGAGGCAGCCCGGUCCCGGGGGGGCUGCCCCGACCCCCGGUGCCCGGAGCAAGGUGGGCUCCUGCCGCCCGCCCCAGCUGCGCUCUCAGCCCUUCGUUCCCUGACCAACGGGUGAGGAUUAUUAACACAUUAUUAAAACUCCGCUCGGAGCACCUUAAUGAGACCUGCGCUUAUUAGCAAUGGGAGCGAAUUUCACAGGAGUGAAGCGAUCAGUUAAGCCAUGUCUAUAGUUUCCAGACUACGCAAAUGAGGCUUUUACUUAAUUGAAUUGAACUUCUCAUGGCAUUCGGAGGCUGAACUCUAUCCUCCAGCGCAAGAGUUCACAACAACAGUAGCUGAGCUGCAGCCUGAUUUAUACUUCUGGAAUGGAGGCCGUGAGACCAUCAGGCUUUCAAUUCAAUCUAUUCCAGUUUGUAAUGAUUUCCCUAAAAGGAGCCAGUUUUUGGUAUGCAGCAGUGCUAUCACAGACUGCUGCUCUUCCCCAGGAUUGUCAGAGCUUAGACCUUUCAGUUGUCCCAGGCAGUCACCGUGGGCUUGAUCUUAAAUUCAGUGAAGUCUCUGGAAUUUGAAUCAGACCUACAAUGGGAUUACAUGAUUUGAUUGAAGAAGAAAGUCAAGUUGCUUUUUUGCUAGUUACUGCAUGCCAUUUACCAGAAAUCUGGUUGUGCCUCAGAGAAGGUUAAAGAGAAGAAAGGACUUGGGGAUGAGGGACCCGGGAGUGGGGAAAGAAGGGAAGACUGGGAGCAAUACAACCCCUUCAAAAGCAUGCAAGAUACAGAGUUCAUACUUUUGAGAGAUCUGAGUGGUCUUGUUAAUACAAAUAAAUAAGCAAAGCACAGACUAAUAUUUCACUUUGCCGUAGGCUUUCUUGUUGUCAGUAUGGGUUUUUCACUAGGAACCUGGCAGCAGCAAGUCCUAACAAGUAACAAAUUUACAAAUACUUCAUUUUGUACAAAAUUAAGGCCAUGCUGUUCAUGACACAAGCUAUUCAACUUGGGGAGCCCUCUUUGAAGAUCUAUUCUUCCAUAUGUGGAGCUCUGAUAAAGGUGUUCAGGGAAGAUGUAGGUUGUCACAACUCACAUGGUAUCAAAAGGCAUGCUGAGACACUCAGCUCUUGCAUGACAUUGAGCAGUCCCAUUUCUGAUGACUUUGUUCAUCUCUUUUCCCUAUGUCGGGAUACAGUGAAUGUAUA